GUGCUCACUUCGGUAGCACACAUACUAAAGUUGGAACAACACAGGGAUGCUUAGCGCGGCCCCUGUACAAGGAUGUCACACAAAUGGACGAAGGGUCAAGGUCAGCA
ensembl:snRNA U6 U6 spliceosomal RNA